GUAUAAUAUUCCAGUGCAUAGAUGGACCACAUUUUGUUUACCCAUUCACCCACUGAUAGACAUCUGGGUUUUUUCUACCUUUGGGCUGUUGUAUACAGUGCUGCUGUGAACAUGUGUACCUUUAUUUGUCUGAAUAUCUGUUUUCAAUUCUUCUGACUAUAUACGUUGGAGUGGCAUCCUGGGUCAUAUGUCAUUUUAUGAUUAACUAUUUGAGGAACCACCUCAAGCUGUUUCCCACAGUGACUGCGCCAUUUUACAUCCCCACCAGCAAUUCUUGAGGGUUCCAGUUUCUCCAUGUUCUCUCCAACACUUUUUCUCUCUCCCUCCCUUCCUGCAGUCCCAGUGGGCACAAUCGUGUCUCACUGUGUUUGGAUCUGCAUCGCCCUUUCCACAGGCUUCUUGGCCCUUCACAUGUUUUCCCAGGAACCAUCCUUGCUCCCUGUUUCCACUUCUCUCUUUGUGCUUCCUUCCCUCACUCCUGACCCCCUUGAGCCUUUCCUUGAGCCCACUGGCCCUGAGUGCCCCCUGUGCCCGUGGGCUCAGCCUCGAGUGACUUACACACGUUUUAGGAGGUGGUGUCUUCCUGCUGCAUCCAGCUCCAGGUCAGAUGUCCCCACUCCCACUCCUCCUGUCACAGGGCUGAGGGUGGGGCUUCGAUAAGGCUUCCCCAGAAGCAGACCUGUGAUGAGGACGUGAGUGCCGCUGGUUUGCCUGAGGGCACAAAGCACAUCAGCAGGGGUGAGAGGAGGAGGGGCAUCACCAGGCCAGCUGCCGGGGUUGCACUUGUGUCUCGGGGUUAUUCCCCCAGGGGGACGGGGGCUGGGGUCUCUUGAGGGCUGCUCCCUGGGAGCUGACUUGGGGAGGAUGGGGUCACAGUGUCUCUAUGGGCCAGAGAAGGCCCUCAGGCAAAGAAACACAGGAGUUGGCAUUUAGAAGUUGGGCUAGCGUGCCCAGAAGCUGCGGGGUGCAGGGACGGGGCGUGGAGGGUGUCCGCCAUGGGGGGAAGCAGAUUUCAGGGAAAGUGAUGUGAGUGGACCUUCAAACAAGAUGUGUUCAAACCUAGUGUGGCCACCACUUUCCCGGCCCUGCCCCCCAUGGCCCAGGGCUUUCAGUCCAAGUCCUGCCCCUGUUGGGAGCCAGUAAGAACCAGAUAUGGCUUCUACUGGGAGCGACACCCCCCAGCAGGUGGGGCCUCUCGUUCCUUCUUUGCCUUAAGCCUCACAUGAUGGGGUGUCAUGGCCAGGAAGGGCUUGACCCACGAGAAGUUGGCCACAGCUCUCCCGGGUCAUCCAUAUGCCUUGGAUGGUGGCUCAUGACACAGCACCUGGCUUCUGAGGACACCCAUUUCACCCCUUGCAAAGGACAUACUCCAGCAUGUAAGUGUCCUUGGAAACGACUCUCCGGAUGCCACCAAGACAGAAGCAAUUUCCAGGCACUCAAUGAGACUGGUCCAGCUGCCUCAACCAGGAAAUGUUUUCAUUUGUGUCUGCUUUAUUCCCAAGGGAGCACAGCUCUGAGGCUGGCCAGGAGACAGGAGCCUGUUGGCCUGGGCUGGCUCUUUGUCCCCCAUGUCCCCGGAGGAUGCCCACUCAUCCCACUGCUGUGGCCCGCUCUCCCUCCCACUGGGCUGAGGAGGCAGUGAACACUGCUGGGCAGCUGGGGCCAUAGUGGAGAUUUGGAGAGAGAAGUACCUUCCCUUCCACCACUCUCUUCCUGCCAGGAGGGCCUCCAGGAGCCGACGGCUCCAGCCCCUGUGAUAGAUGAGCAUCCAGGAGCCCUGGUCUCUUCCACACAGGAGGAGGGAUACAGAAGCGCCAUGGAAGGUGCUUUGCAGAAAAGCACGAAGGCCUGGGACAGGGCCUCGCCUCUCCUACUGCUGACGCUUUUCAGUCGGCGCGCUGACAUGAGGGUUGCGUGUGUACCCGUGUGCAUGUGAAUGUCCCAGAGCUCCAGGGGCCAAAGCGGUGCUGCAGGCUGGGCACCCGUGGGUCCUGGCAGCCGGGGCAGGGGUGCGGGGGGCAGCCUGGCCGGGCAGCGCGCUUGCGACCGCCGGCUCCCUCUCAGUCCACAGCCCCAGCUUCCGCGCUCCUCACUGCUGGUUAUGCGUCAGGAGCCUCCCAGGGAUUUCGGUUUGCAGAGCUGGCUGGACACGUUACAGAGCAAGUGGCCGGUGGUGGCGAGCCCCGACUGUGACCUUCCCCCUGGGAGGGGCACAGCUCCAUUUUGAAGCUGUGUUGAGCUGAGAGUGGCCUUUUCUCCCACCCCCAAGGAAAGACUGAGAUUCCUAAAUAUAUCCUGGUAAAAGGGGCCAGCUGCCUCUUUUUUGUUCUUUUCAGUUGGGGAGGUAAUCAGGCCAGUUUAUUUAUUUAUUUAUUACUGGAGGUACUGGGGAUUGAACCCAGGACCUCGCGCAUGGAUGCUAGGCACGGACUCUGCCACUGAGCUAUCCAUCCCUCCUGCCUCUUUAUUCCUAACAGGCAAGUCUCAGAGGAGCAGGCUAACCAGGGGCCCUGUGGAUGGGAGGCUGUGGGGGAGGGUGUGGUCACCACUGUCUUGGGGUUGGCAGACGGCCUCUGCCCCACCGACCUAACCCUAUGGAUUUCCCUCAGUCUGCGUCCUGUGAGAUCUGCACAGGGCUCAGUACAGCUGCAGCCCUGCGAGUGAACGUAGGGGAGCAGGAGGCAGAGAACUCACGGGCCGGCCUUGCAGUCCACAGGAGAAGCCACCCUCUGGCCUCAAAGACAGGAUGUGCUGAGCAAGAGUCAGCCAGGCUCGGGUCACUGGAACUCAGUGGACUGGAGUUUACAGGAAAAAGAAAAAAGGGCCAACCUCCAGUUCGGGUCUGGACGGGCCCUCACUACCCUGAGUGUUCCGGAACCUUCAUUUCGUUUCUCUACGAGAUUGACCUCUAGUGCCUGCAGCUGAGUAAGGCUCCACGAAUCUUUCCCACCAGGAUUCACUAAUGAAACUGAAAAGGCUCAUCACCUUCCUCCCAAACAUGGCCCACGAUUCCUGGGAGCAUCUCCACCAGCAAAGCAUGGGUACCAUCCUUUCUCUCCCCAGCCGGGAAGGCGGCUGUCUGCCUAACUCCUAAUUACGCCCUUCAAGGCUGCAUUAAAUCAUUGCGCCCGGACGCUGCAUUGUGGGUAAUCAGCUGCUGCUUUAAUAUGUCUGGCUGUUCUGCAUUUCCGCAGGCAGAGCCUGUCUGAAGGGAAGAUUCGCCCGUCUGUCUGGAUCUUGACUGGAAAUCACAGACCACAGGAUAAGCGUGGUGUGGCAGGUGGAUGUGUUAAACCCCGCCGAGAGCUCGAGCUGGAAUUUCCCCUCUUGCCCUCAGGCAUGGCCCAGAGACUCGGGUGGUCAUCUCAGGCUGGAGGAAAUCCAGCGGGAAUCUGCUCUAUAAACUCCCCGAGUCCCUUUCUUUCUUAUUUUUUUUUAAAACAGAUGUAUUGAGAUGUAAUUCCUGUGCAUACAGUUCGCCCAUGGAACGUGUACAUUUCAUUGGGUUUUGGUAUCUUCAUGGAGCUGUGCAACCAUUACCACAGUCAAUUUUACAACAUUUUUUAUCACCUCUAAAACUGAUAGCUACCAAUGAUAACUGUAACCCCCCAGCACCCCCAGCCCCUCGCAGCCACUGAUGAACUUCAUGUCUCUGCAGUGUUCCCUGUUCUGGACACUUCAUAUAAAUGGACUCAUACAGUA